GAGUUUGAUCAUGGCUCAGGACGAACGCUGGCGGCGUGCCUAACACAUGCAAGUCGAACGAGAAUCUACUUAUGAAAUUUUCGGAUGGAUUAGGUAGAGGAAAGUGGCGAACGGGUGAGUAACGCGUGAGCAAUCUGCCUUGUACUGGGGGAUAACGUCGGGAAACCGGCGCUAAUACCGCAUAAUACUAUGAGAUCGCAUGGUCAUAUAGUCAAAACUCCGGUGGUACAAGAUGAGCUCGCGUCCAAUUAGCUAGUUGGUGGGGUAAUGGCCCACCAAGGCGACGAUUGGUAGCCGAACUGAGAGGUUGAUCGGCCACAUUGGGACUGAGACACGGCCCAGACUCCUACGGGAGGCAGCAGUGGGGAAUAUUGCGCAAUGGAGGGAACUCUGACGCAGCAACGCCGCGUGAAGGAUGAAGGUUUUCGGAUUGUAAACUUCUUUGAUCGGGGACGAAAUUGACGGUACCCGAGGAACAAGCCACGGCUAACUACGUGCCAGCAGCCGCGGUAAUACGUAGGUGGCAAGCGUUGUCCGGAAUUACUGGGUGUAAAGGGCGUGUAGGCGGGAAGGCAAGUCAGAUGUGAAAGCCCAUGGCUUAACUGUGGAAUUGCAUCUGAAACUGUUUUUCUUGAGUGCUGGAGAGGAAAGUGGAAUUCCUAGUGUAGCGGUGAAAUGCGUAGAGAUUAGGAGGAACACCAGUGGCGAAGGCGGCUUUCUGGACAGUAACUGACGCUGAGGCGCGAAAGCGUGGAGAGCAAACAGGAUUAGAUACUCUGGUAGUCCACGCUGUAAACGAUGGAUACUAGGUGUGGGAGGUAUCGACCCCUUCCGUGCCGGAGUUAACACAAUAAGUAAUCCACCUGGGGAGUACGUUCGCAAGAAUGAAACUCAAAGGAAUUGACGGGGGCCCGCACAAGCGGAGGAACAUGUGGUUUAAUUCGAUGAUACGCGAGGAACCUUACCCGGGCUUGAAAUGCAUUUGACCGACUCCGAAAAGAGUCUUCCCUUCGGGGCAAAUGUGUAGGUGCUGCAUGGUUGUCGUCAGCUCGUGCCGUGAGGUGUCGGCUUAAGUGCCAUAACGAGCGCAACCCUCAUCAUUAGUUGCUAACAGGUUAAGCUGAGGACUCUAAUGAGACUGCCAUCGUAAGAUGUGAGGAAGGUGGGGAUGACGUCAAAUCAGCACGGCCCUUAUGUCCGGGGCGACACACGUGUUACAAUGGAUGGUACAACAGGCAGCUACUAGGCGACUAGAUGCUAAUCCCAAAAACCAUUCUCAGUUCGGAUCGAAGUCUGCAACUCGACUUCGUGAAGCUGGAUUCGCUAGUAAUCGCGCAUCAGCCACGGCGCGGUGAAUACGUUCCCGGGCCUUGUACACACCGCCCGUCAAGCCAUGGAAGCUGGGGGUACCUGAAGCACGUAACCGUUAAGGAGCGUGUUAGGGUAAAACUGGUAACUGGGGCUAAGUCGUAACAAGGUAGCCG
rnacentral:rRNA from 1 species